AGUGAACGCUGGCGGUAGGCCUAACACAUGCAAGUCGAACGGCAGCACAGUAAGAGCUUGCUCUUACGGGUGGCGAGUGGCGGACGGGUGAGGAAUACAUCGGAAUCUACUUUUUCGUGGGGGAUAACGUAGGGAAACUUACGCUACUACCGCAUACGACCUACGGGUGAAAUCAGGGGAUCUUCGGACCUUGCGCGAUUCAAUGAGCCGAUGUCGGAUUAGCUAGUUGGCGGGGUAAAGGCCCACCAAGGCGACGAUCCGUAGCUGGUCUGAGAGGAUGAUCAGCCACACUGGAACUGAGACACGGUCCAGACUCCUACGGGGGGCAGCAGUAGGGAAUAUUGGACAAUGGGCGCAAGCCUGAUCCAGCCAUACCGCGUGGGUGAAGAAGGCCUUCGGGUUGUAAAGCCCUUUUGUUGGGAAAGAAAAGCAGCAGGUUAAUACCCCGCUGUUCUGACGGUACCCAAAGAAUAAGCACCGGCUAACUUCGUG
rnacentral:rRNA from 1 species